GGUUAAGCGACUAAGCGUACACGGUGGAUGCCCUGGCAGUCAGAGGCGAUGAAGGGCGUGCUAAUCUGCGAUAAGCGCCGGUAAGGUGAUAUGAACCGUUAUAACCGGCGAUACCCGAAUGGGGAAACCCAGUGUGAUUCGUCACACUAUCAUUAACUGAAUCCAUAGGUUAAUGAGGCGAACCGGGGGAACUGAAACAUCUAAGUACCCCGAGGAAAAGAAAUCAACCGAGAUUCCCCCAGUAGCGGCGAGCGAACGGGGAGGAGCCCAGAGCCUGAAUCAGCAUGUGUGUUAGUGGAAGCGUCUGGAAAGGUGCGCGAUACAGGGUGACAGCCCCGUACACAAAAGCGCAUGUGCUGUGAGCUCGAUGAGUAGGGCGGGACACGUGGUAUCCUGUCUGAAUAUGGGGGGACCAUCCUCCAAGGCUAAAUACUCCUGACUGACCGAUAGUGAACCAGUACCGUGAGGGAAAGGCGAAAAGAACCCCGGCGAGGGGAGUGAAAAAGAACCUGAAACCGUGUACGUACAAGCAGUGGGAGCACAGGUUUACCUGUGUGACUGCGUACCUUUUGUAUAAUGGGUCAGCGACUUAUAUUCUGUAGCAAGGUUAACCGUAUAGGGGAGCCGGAGGGAAACCGAGUCUUAACCGGGCGUUAAGUUGCAGGGUAUAGACCCGAAACCCGGUGAUCUAGCCAUGGGCAGGUUGAAGGUUGGGUAACACUAACUGGAGGACCGAACCGACUAAUGUUGAAAAAUUAGCGGAUGACCUGUGGCUGGGGGUGAAAGGCCAAUCAAACCGGGAGAUAGCUGGUUCUCCCCGAAAGCUAUUUAGGUAGCGCCUCGUGAAUUCAUCUCCGGGGGUAGAGCACUGUUUCGGCUAGGGGGCCAUCCCGGCUUACCAACCCGAUGCAAACUGCGAAUGCCGGAGAAUGUUAUCACGGGAGACACACGGCGGGUGCUAACGUCCGUCGUGAAGAGGGAAACAACCCAGACCGCCAGCUAAGGUCCCAAAGUCAUGGUUAAGUGGGAAACGAUGUGGGAAGGCCCAGACAGCCAGGAUGUUGGCUUAGAAGCAGCCAUCAUUUAAAGAAAGCGUAAUAGCUCACUGGUCGAGUCGGCCUGCGCGGAAGAUGUAACGGGGCUAAACCAU
rnacentral:rRNA from 1 species